GCACUUGUUCGGAACCCUGCCUGGUCCAAGCGAGUAGCGAUUAGCCUGUCGUUUUCUGCUUCUUGAUUUUUCUUCUUUUCUUCAAUUUUUUCUAUGGUUGCGUUCCGUUGUUGCUGCAGUUUUUUGAGAUUCCUGGUAUAGUAAUGAGAUUCCUGAUAUGGUAAUGCGAUUAUUUUACAUUUUCUGGUUAGGAUCUUGCUGACGUGAGAAUUGAGAUCGAUCUGAAAGGCUUGAUUGUGCCUUCCCUACAUCAAUCCAUCUUGAAGUCUCUUGGAAAUUCCCCAAAAGCUAAAAAGAACCUGUUUGGUGGUUGCAUUGUUUGCUUUGGUAAUUCAACUUUGCUUUUGCUUGUUUCUUCUUUAUUCCGUGCCAAUGAUGAUUCACUUUCAAGGUGAAUUCUUUGAUGGUUGCAUUGUUGGCUUUGGUAAUUCAACUUUGCUUUUGCUUGUUUCUUCUUUAUUCCGUGCCAAUGAUGAUUCACUUUCAAGGUGAAUUCUUUGAUUGUUUUGUGAUGUUCUUGAGGCGUUCAACUGAGGCACGACCGAAUCGAAAUUUAAUUACUGCUUUGUAGUUCAUCAAAAUCUUGGCUUUAAUUCAGUAGUAGAAAAUUGAACUUUGAAACUUUGUAUUCGUGUCAAAUCUUUUUUUAUGUUACUCAUCUCAAGUGUACUAGUGAUGCUGAAUUUUGGAUGACUUUAUUUGCUGGUUCACAGCUACGGUGAUAUGCAUUUGAGGUGUACACCUGAGGCACGUCGCACGCUUGAAGAAGCCUAUGCACUUGUUCUUUCUGAUCCUUAAGUUUGAAGGUUCAUUCGUUUGGUCUUUCGAAUGGUUCUUAUUGCAUCAGCAGCUAAUUUCUUGCAUGAAAAUAGCGAUUUGCUUAGGUUACCCUGCACCUACUUUCAACAAAUAUGUCAUGUUUUUUCUCAUUCAUUUGUGAUUUGCCUCCAACGUCCUCAUGAGUUUGAUCAGUACAAUAUCAUGCAUUUUCUUAAUCAAGUGUAUGGUUUGGAAAAAAAGAUGCGUUGAAGUAUCAAUGCCAAUUAGAAUAAACUAGUGCUAACUUAGUCAUGCUAAAAUAACUAGCAUGAACCACGGAAGGAGGAAAUAACUGGAUUCGUGUGGCUGCAUGUAUGUAUGUUAAUUUGGACUUUAGACAUAAUAUAGCAUUAGUUUGUAUGGGGUGUGGGUUUUAUCUAUCUCGAUCUGGUCUUAAUAAAUUAAGAUUUUCUCUCAGUUCGGAUUCCAUCUCUGUUUGUAUCCUUUGUAAAUAAAGUACCUUAAUUUUGUAGUGAAAACUUUUAUAAGAAAACUACAGCGGUGGUUACCUUGGCGAAGUGAAGGGUGGUGGUUGGAACUUUGGUGACCAAAAAAUAUGUAAAGUGGUGGACAGAGAUAUAAAGUGGUGGAAAGCAUUGGAAUAUGAUACUUUGGUUUGUUUUGCAAAAUUUCAUUGUUAAGAGAAUUUUGGUUUGUUUUUCUAUUGAU
rnacentral:lncRNA from 1 species